rnacentral:rRNA from 1 species
ACCAAGUAUACGAUCUAUAGCUGGUUUUAGAGGAUGAUCAGCAACACUGGGACUGAGACACGGCCCAGACUCCUACGGGAGGCAGCAGUGGGGAAUCUUAGACAAUGGGCGCAAGCCUGAUCUAGCCAUGCCGCGUGUGUGAUGAAGGUCUUAGGAUCGUAAAGCACUUUCGCCAGGGAUGAUAAUGACAGUACCU